rnacentral:lncRNA from 1 species
UUGUAUUAUUGUGAAUAUAAUAUGGAAAUGUGAAGCUCGGUACACAGUUACUUUUUACUACCAAGUUCCAUCGACUGGCAAAAUUUACAAAGCGGAUCAACAUUACAAAAGAGCAACAAUACAUUGGUUGAAUGUAAAUAAACGAGCUACUAAAUUGCAAUCUCAUAAAUGGUAAUAAAGUAGCAAGUUCCAGUUGAUGACUGAAAGUUCUUGAGAAUCACGGCUGAGUAAAAGAAAGCCCUGUUUAUUCCUGUGUAAAUAAUACAUUCUCUUAUAUUGUAAAGAAUAAUAACAGAAAGAGAUUGGCGUAAAUGCUAGACCAUCUAUCACUAUGACUAUUAGGCAUUGCUUUCAGACACAAAUCAUAGUUCCACAAAGACAAGUUUGAAGAUUUAUAAACAUCAUCAAAUCACACACCAAUGGAAGAAUAACAGAAUCAUAUUAGAGCAAAACAAGACAAUCAAUAAAACUAAUCGAGUAAUUCAAUGGUGGAAUCAGAAUAUCAAUAAGCAAAAUAAGGUACAUGGUACAAUUCAAUUUGUUCCUCAUUUCCCACCAUUUCAACAAAUAAAAACCAGAAAAAAAAACAGCAGGCCAAUCAAUAAAACUAAUACAACAAGUAAUUCAACAGUGAAAUCAGAAUAUCAAUAAGCAAAUAAGGUACAUGGUACCAAAACAUUAAAGUCUUGAUUCACAUUAUAUUUCUUCCUCAUUUUCCACCAUUCCGACAGGACAAAAAAAACAGAACAAUCAAUCAAAGCCAACAACAAUAAUAUGUAUCCGACCAGAUAAUGAAGCACGAGAUACGGAAUGGUCGAAUUAGAAUCUGAAAAUCCCCAAACGCUUAUCUCUAACAGAUUAAAAGCUGUAACACUUAAUAUUCAAAGAGUACGACGAAUAGGGAUCUUGAUUCCAGAUUCUAAUGUCGAAGAGCCUCGAGCUGAUAAAAAAAUCAGGAAGGGAGAUGACAGGUAAGUUAACUAGGAGAACCCUAAUUAAACAAACCCUAUAAAAAAAUUCGAUUUAGCGCAGCUAUGACUCGACACGCUUCCAUUGAGAGUUUGUGGAAGGCGAUCUUAAGGGCUGCGCAAUCGAAAACUCCUAAUUCGAAAACAUAAACCCUAAUUUGCUCCCAAUACUCUAGCAAUUGAGAAGAGAAG